AGUGGCCUUCUGGCAAGGACACGUGUCCGCUUCCAGAUCUCAUAGUAAUCGUAUAAGCUUUAAGGUUUUUUGAUUAGUCGUUAUUUAUUGAAAUCAUUUUUGAGGGAAGUAGCUUUCUUACAGUGGCCUUCCGCCAUUUCUUACAGUCGUUAUUUAUUAAAAAAAUGAAAUCACGCACAGAUUUGGCAAUAUCACGUUAGUUUAACCAACCGAAAUCCAUUUGAAUGGGCCAAGGAAUACACUAAUGCAAUAGCCCAAUAAAUCAAAAAAAAAAUAACAAAGUUAACAAAAUUUUCUCAAAAUUUUUGACUAACGUGUUUCUCUUUUUUUUUUUUUUUGUCUUGGACUCUUGCACUUUUUAUUUUCUUAAGCUUCUUCCUUUCCUGUCUUAACCUGUCUUAACCUGCAAACCAAAAACACAAUUUCAUUAUUAUUUUGUCAAUUGCUUGUGUCUGCUUAUAUCAGAAGCAAAAUCUCGCCAUAAGCCAUGAAAGCUCUGUGUUUGUUUCUUCAACACUGACUCCAGCGGUAGCGUCAGAAAAUUAAACCUUUAACGACAGCAACCUACAGCACCGGUGAAGCACGAUGAACUGACUUUCCAGUCGCUGCGGCAACUAAUAGCGAACGAAAUGAACGCCGAAUAAAUCAGCGUUUAAUUCCGUGCGUCUCCGGCAACGUAUCAGCGACUGAUUUAGGUUUUCUGCGUCUCCGGAAUUAUUAUUUUGUCUCCAUCACAGGUCAUUUUUUUGUGGCUGCCGUUGAAAGUAGCGUCUAUGAAACGAACAGAGCUUAUAUAAUCCCCAGUUUUCAUUUUGUUUCAAGCCCUCAAAUUCUCAGGACCCUGAGUGUAUCUAAUCAUUAUAAUAUUUGAUCCAGAUUUAAAAU